rnacentral:rRNA from 1 species
UGGCGGGACGGGGUGGAGUAAUGUCUGGGAAACGUGCCUGAUGGAGGGGGGUAACUACUGGAAACGGUAGCUAAUACCGCAUAACGUCGCAAGACCAAAGAGGGGGACCUUCGGGCCUCUUGCCAUCGGAUGUGCCCAGAUGGGAUUAGCUAGUAGGUGGGGUAAAGGCUCACCUAGGCGACGAUCCCUAGCUGGUCUGAGAGGAUGACCAGCCACACUGGAACUGAGACACGGUCCAG